rnacentral:rRNA from 1 species
UACGGAGGGUGCGAGCGUUGUUCGGCCUUACUGGGCGUAAAGCGCGUGCAGGCGGCCGACUAAGUCCGGUGUGAAAGCCCGGGGCUCACCCCCGGAAGUGCGCUGGAAACUGGUUGGCUAGAGUACGGGAGAGGGAAGUGGAAUUCCUGGUGUAGCGGUGAAAUGCGUAGAUAUCAGGAGGAACACCGGCGGCGAAGGCGGCUUCCUGGACCGAUACUGACGCUGAGACGCGAAAGCGUGGGGAGCAAACAGG